AUAUAUUUAACGGCCGCGGUAUCUUGACCGUGCAAAGGUAGCAUAAUCAAUUGUUCCUUAAAUAGGGACUAGUAUGAAAGGCACCACGAGGGUUUAACUGUCUCCCCCCUUUAAUCAAUAAAAUUAACCUUCCCGUGAAGAGGCGGGAAUAAAAAUAUAAGACGAAAAGACCCCAUGGAGCUUUAAACUUAUCAUCAAUUAUCAAAAUCAAUGCAAUAUAAAAGGUAAGUAUGUUACUGAUAGUUUUCGGUUGGGGCGACCCUGGAGAAAAACAAAUCCUCCAAGCUGAAUAAUUAAAUACUAGAAUUACAAUUCAAAUAAUCAAAAUCUUGACAAAAUGACCCAGAAUACUAAUACUCUGAUCAACGAACCAAGUUACCCUGGGGAUAACAGCGCAAUCCAUUUCAAGAGCCCAUAUCGACAAAUGGGUUUACGACCUCGAUGUUGGAUCGGGGUAUCCUAGCAGCGCAGCCGUUGCUUAGGGUUCGUUUGUUCAACGAUUAACAACCCCACGUGAUCU
rnacentral:rRNA from 1 species